rnacentral:rRNA from 1 species
UACGGAGGGGGCCAGCGUUGUUCGGAAUUAUUGGGCGUAAAGGGCGCGUAGGCGGCUUGGCAAGUCAGUUGUGAAAUCCCUCGGCUCAACCGAGGAACUGCGACUGAUACUGCCGGGCUCGAGUCCCGGAGAGGGUAGCGGAAUUCCCAGUGUAGCGGUGAAAUGCGUAGAUAUUGGGAGGAACAUCGGUGGCGAAGGCGGCUACCUGGACGGGUACUGACGCUGAGGCGCGAAAGCUAGGGGAGCAAACAGG